rfam:Oryza sativa Japonica Group DNA, chromosome 1, cultivar: Nipponbare, complete sequence.
AGAGGAAGGAAGCAUGGUAGUGUGUACAGAGAUGGAUUGAUUUUGUUGGUCUGCAUGUCUGCCUGCGGUGAUGCCUUCGGGCUUUGAUCUCGCGGGCCUGGAUUUGACCCACACUU